rnacentral:rRNA from 1 species
UACGAAGGGGGCUAGCGUUGUUCGGAAUCACUGGGCGUAAAGGGUGCGUAGGCGGGUCUUUUAGUCAGUGGUGAAAUCCUGGAGCUCAACUCCAGAACUGCCUUUGAUACUGAAGAUCUUGAGUUCGGGAGAGGUGAGUGGAACUGCGAGCGUAGAGGUGAAAUUCGUAGAUAUUCGCAAGAACACCAGUGGCGAAGGCGGCUCACUGGCCCGAUACUGACGCUGAGGCACGAAAGCGUGGGGAGCAAACAGG